GAUGAACGCUGACAGAAUGCUUAACACAUGCAAGUCUACUUGAAUUUGGGUUUUUUACCUUCGAUUUGGGUGGCGGACGGGUGAGUAACGCGUAAAGAACUUGCCUCACAUCUAAGGACAACAUUUGGAAACGAAUGCUAAUACCUGAUAUUAUGAUUAUAAGGCAUCUUAGAAUUAUGAAAGCUAUAUGCGCUGUGAGAGAGCUAUGCGUCCCAUUAGCUAGUUGGAGAGGUAACGAGGCACCAAGGCGAUGAUGGGUCGCCGGCCUGAGAGGGUGAACGGCCACAAGGGGCUUGAGAAACGGCCCUUACGCCUACUGGAGGCAGCAGUGGGGAAUAUGCGAAAAAGGACCAAGAGUCUGAUGCAGCAAUUCUGUGUGUAAGAUGACGUUUUUAGGAAUGUAAAGUGCUUUCAGUUGGGAAGCAAAAAAUGACGGUACCAAAAGAAGAAGCGACGGCUAAAUACGUG
rnacentral:rRNA from 1 species